CCCCGCGCCAAAGUUUGGGGAAACUUUCCGCUGUUUUGGGGCCGGGGCCUGGCCUCAGCCCCGCGCUCCCGCUGCGGGCAGGGAGCGCCCUCAGAGCUGUGCCUGUGCCCCCCUUCCCUGUGUCAGCGCACCUGGGCUCUCCCUGCCCGCGGACCGCGCUCCCUGCGCCCCACAGAUAAGGCCGGGGCUCGCCCCACCCCGCGGCACCCCGGGCCCGCCGUGCUGGAUAAGCGGAGCCGCCACGUUGAGGGAAGUUUGCCCCGUGUUCCCCCCACCCCCCCACCCCACAGCCCGCGGGUGCUGUGACUUCGCGCAGGACCCCACAAAUCCCAGCACACGCUGCCGGGAGCUGCGAUCCCCGCCGUGCCCCCCCGGCCCUGCCCUCAUCCCGGUGACACUCGUGUCCUCCUAUUAACCCUGCGGAGAGAGGACAAAAGCUAAACUAUGAUCCUGCGCUGCUUCCCCCCCCCGCCCCAUCCCGCUGCCGGCUCCAUGAGCUUCACAUCCUCCUGCUAAGGCUGAAAGGAACAAGAACAAGAGCUGCUGAUGGUUGCUCUCCCUCCCUCAUGGCCGGAGUGGAAAAGCACGUUUAAAUCCCGAACUCGGCUUUCCCACGUGGUGUCUCGCUGAGCUGCUGUCACAGCCACGCCGCGCUCUCACAGGGCACCGGACUUCUUCCCUGCCCUGCCGGCAAGGCACAAGGAGGCAGCCUUCAUCGAGCGAGGAGAGCGAAUCUUGGCAAAAAGAGCACCGAAGGAUGUGAACCCCUUGGAAAAUUCCACUUCCUGCCCAGCACUGCGUGUCCUUGGGUCUCUCACUCAUUCCCAUGCACUUAACGAGGGAUUUCUGCCUCAGGCUACCACACCAACUUUCUAAAUAAAUGCCUCGCACACCC